UACGUAGGGUGCAAGCGUUAAUCGGAAUUACUGGGCGUAAAGCGUGCGCAGGCGGUUUUGUAAGUCUGUCGUGAAAGCCCCGGGCUCAACCUGGGAAUUGCGAUGGAGACUGCAAGGCUUGAAUCUUGCAGAGGGGGGUAGAAUUCCACGUGUAGCAGUGAAAUGCGUAGAGAUGUGGAGGAACACCGAUGGCGAAGGCAGCCCCCUGGGUCAAGAUUGACGCUCAUGCACGAAAGCGUGGGGAGCAAACAGG
rnacentral:rRNA from 1 species